UUGGAGACGUGGGAGGCGGGGGUGUCGGUGUGCGGUGGUGGAGGAGCCUCCGGCCGGCUCGCCCGUCUAUCCCGUGAGCUGGAAGCCGGCUCUGUUGGCGUCGACGUCAGAAUUGGUCCCCGUCCAAGGGGGCAGUGCGGCUCCGGCACUGCUGGGGCACACCCUGGGGCCCCGCCGUGCCGGCCCUGGUCUCCUUGCACAGCUACUGGCCACCGUGGGUGCUGCAGCUUUGGGGGAUUCUGCUCUCCAAAAGCACCGCCCCCUAGCGGCUGCCUCGCUGUGUUCCGAGGCUUUCAUCCGGGUGUGCGAGCUGCCGGCCUGCCCCAGACAAGGUGGGCCGUCCUCGCCCUCCCGGGGCUCGCAGCCUCCGUCUGCUCCAGGGUGUUUGUCUUAGGGCCACGCUGGACAAAGGAUGGUGGCUGUGAAGAAAUCGUGUGGAGCUGGCAGCCGGGGAGCAGGCCCUGGAAGGGAGCCAGGUCUGCGAGGCUGGCCCCCAAAACCUGCAGACACUGCUGGGGAGCUCACCGGGGCUGGCUGUUGCAGGAUACAUGUCUUGGUCCUUUCGUUAACUUUAUUCCAAAGUAUUCUUUUCGAUGCUAGACGCCUCUCAUUUCACCUCCUUGCCUAUUUCCUGGCUGGCACCUCCUCUACAGUGUAGACAAGGAAUGGGCAGAGUGGACACCCUUGUCUUGUUCCUGAUCUUUUGGGAAAGAACCCACUCUGUCACCGUCAAGUAUGACGCUGGUCUUGAGCUCAUCUGAGUCAGGAAGUUCCUCCUAUUUCCAGAACGCUGAGUAUUUUUUUCAUGAAAGGGUGUCGACGACAUCAGACGAUUGUUCUCUUCCUAUGAGAAGAUGUGGCUUGUGCCCUCAGCUCUGUUCAUAUGCAUUACAUUGGUUUCCAUGUGUGGCUCCUGGAGCAUCUGCCCGGCUCACUGUGUCCCGUUAGACAAAGAUUUCUUUAAAUGUCCAGAACUGAUAAAUCUCCCAGUUUUUGCCGUGGAACUCUGUAUGUUGAGUUCACAGUCACUACUUGGCCAGGAAUCGGCGACUCUGCCUUAGCCUUCACUUCCUUCUCAAGGUUGGAUAUAAGCUUGGAGCUUGGAGCCUCCUCGGGUCUCUUCCAGGCGUGCACACAGCUCUACACACACACACACUCACACACACACACACACACAGCCUUCUCGAGUCUCGGAAAUAUGCUGGAGCCUUACAAAGCCCGUGGAGACAUCUCCACCUGCUCUGCUGCUGUCAGCUGCCGGUUAGCACAGAGUUUGUCUCAAUGGGUGUUCAUUGUUGCAGGAAGCCAGAAAGCUAAUCAAUUAUCCCAGUUAUCCCUAGUUAUUUUCAACAAACACUGGACUUUUCACACUGGGCAAGUUUCAAGCAAGGUCAGAUAAAGACAGGCUUGCAAGCUCAGUCAUCCAGGGACCCACGGAUGAGCCGGGCAAAGGCAGUCCUCGGGAAUGAGGCUCUGAGGGGCUCCGCCACCCGUCAGAGCCUGCCCAGCUGCUGGCUUUCAAGGCUAACUGCAGAGCAGGGACUUGGAAAUGUGUCAAGUUCAAGUUCAAGUGCCAUGGACUCGCUAUUCUGAGGGAGAGUCCUGUGUUUUUCCUGAAUGCACGCUCUCCAGAUUGCUGCAAGCCUCUGGUUUGUUUCCAGGGUUCUGAAAUGGUUGAAUCUGGUGUUUUUGCCAGUUCUUCUCAUGACUUUGAUGGAAUAGAGAGUUUCCCACUCUUGCUGACACCCGAGAGUUUUCUUUUAUUCUCAGUAAAUGAAUCUGAAUAGCCACCUGUGAUUGUGGUACAAAGUCUCCCUUUUUAAAUUUAUGCACAUAAAAAGUGAGUCGAGGAAGCCAAUAUGGAAAGAUUCUGCACUGGUUGGUCCCAAGUACAGGACAAUCUGGAAAAAAACUGAAACGGUAAGGACAGUGGAAAAUCAGCGUCGGCAGGGGUUCGAGGGCAGGGUUAGGGAUGAAUGGGGGGCACAGGGCAUUUUGUAGGGUGCUGGAACUGUUUAAUCAGAUACUGCAAUGGGGGCUGCAUAGCACUGGGUUGUCAAAAGCCCGGGGCACUGUACCCACCCUCCAGGGUGACCCCCAGCAUAAAGCACCGGCAUUAUGGACAACCGUGGAGCGACACUGCGCCAGCAGCUAUGACACGUGACGACACAUGACCCACACUAAUCCAAGACGCUGGCCACAGGGACGCGUGUGCCGGGAGGGAGGGGGCAUGGGAGAACUCCUUGUACUUUCUGUUCAGUUUUUUUUUUUCCUUGUAAAUCUGAAAGUACUUAACAAAGCAGGAUGUGUUAAAACUUUUAAAGGGAGUUGAUUUCAGGAAACAUAUUCUGGGUAAGAGGAUGGCAAAAGGCCUGUGGGAGGUGCGUGGGUGAUUGACACUUAGAAAACAUCUACGAUGUCUGCAAUGCAAGAUAAUGGGGAAAUUUAAAAACAAAACUAUUUUAUUAAUAACUUGAGCCCCAUUGCAGCUGCCUAUGCGCGCCGGGUACAGCUGAUUGUCACCUUCUGCUGUUUCAAAGGUUAAUAGUUACUGGGGAAGAAACAGAAGACAGAAAGACAGAACCUUCUAGAACAUCAAGGCUGACUUUCAGAAAGCUCCCUGGGAGGCGAGAGAGCGAAGGUUUCAGUCGAGACCCUGCGGGCUGUGGGAGCCACGGCUGGGACAGGGGACGCCCUUGGCUGCCCCAGAAAGCUGUAACCACCCAGCACCUGCUGAGGCCACGCUGCCUUUUUUUUUUUAUUUGAAAGUCAGAGUUACACAG